AGAGUACUAGUAUAAUCGGUAAUACACUGUCGUGUCAAGACAAAACUGCAGGUUAAAUCCCCGCGCACUCUU
rnacentral:tRNA from 1 species